GGUGUAGUGAAGGAUGAAGAGAAGGCAAUGCAUUGGUUUAGGGAUGUAGAAAUGCUCCUUAAUGUUGCUGCAAAACGGGGGAUCCAAGAAGCCCAAGAACUUCUGGAGAAUGUUAUUUGGACUAAAAGCAAGCUCUUGCCAACUGAAAGAACCGGGAGUUCUUAUAAACCAUAAUGUGUGCCUGCAUGCUCUUCCUGGAACAUGGGAUGUUCUGCUCUCACUUGUCCACUGUGGCCUUGCAAUGCUUUGUGGCAUUUUCAGUGGAAGCUCCUUUUACUUAUAGUCUCAUAUGCUGCUGCAGCAUUAAUUUGCUGGUUAAAAUCCUUUAAAUGAAGUGUUACUUAUAUGUUUUCCUGGGAUCUGAGUUUGAUCUCUUCUGGAUAGAGGAAUAUUUUAUUUGGGUUUCAUUACUGCUCACUUCAGCUAAAGUUUCAUUCAAGCCAGUGAGCAUUCUAUAACGUGGUAAGUGGAAAAUAACGAAGAAACCUGUCACACCAGAGAUUGGCUUCUUGGAUGUGUUAGCUGGCACUCACAGAUCCACUGAAAGAGCUAAACUCAUCAUUAGCCUAAUCUAUGACAUGUGAUGUUCU
rnacentral:lncRNA from 1 species